GAUGAACGCUGGCGGCGUGCCUAAUACAUGCAAGUCGAGCGAACAGACGAGGAGCUUGCUCCUCUGACGUUAGCGGCGGACGGGUGAGUAACACGUGGAUAACCUACCUAUAAGACUGGGAUAACUUCGGGAAACCGGAGCUAAUACCGGAUAAUAUAUUGAACCGCAUGGUUCAAUAGUGAAAGACGGUUUUGCUGUCACUUAUAGAUGGAUCCGCGCCGCAUUAGCUAGUUGGUAAGGUAACAGCUUACCAAGGCAACGAUGCGUAGCCGACCUGAGAGGGUGAUCGGCCACACUGGAACUGAGACACGGUCCAGACUCCUACGGGAGGCAGCAGUAGGGAAUCUUCCGCAAUGGGCGAAAGCCUGACGGAGCACCGCCGCGUGAGUGAUGAAGGUCUUCGGAUCGUAAAACUCUGUUAUUAGGGAGGAACAAAUGUGUAAGUAACUAUGCACGUCUUGACGGUACCUAAUCAGAAAGCCACGGCUAACUACGUG
rnacentral:rRNA from 1 species